rnacentral:rRNA from 1 species
GAACUAAAGAGUUUGAUCCUGGCUCAGAUUGAACGCUGGCGGCAUGCUUUACACAUGCAAGUCGAACGGUAACAGGCCGCAAGGUGCUG